rnacentral:rRNA from 1 species
AUACGGAGGGUGCAAGCGUUGUCCGGAUUUAUUGCGUUUAAAGGGUGCGCAGGCGGUGCGUUAAGUCAGUGGUGAAAUCUUCCGGCUCAACCGGGAAACUGCCAUUGAUACUGGCGCACUUGAGUUCGGACGAGGUAGGCGGAAUUUAUGGUGUAGCGGUGAAAUGCAUAGAUACCAUAAAGAACACCGAUAGCGAAGGCAGCUUACCAGACCGUAACUGACGCUCAGGCACGAAAGCGUGGGGAGCAAACAGGAUUAGAAACCCUAGUAGUCC